GGGUGUGAGGGCAAUCUGGCUGUGACAUCUGUCACCCUAUUGAUCACCAGGCUUGUUUCAGUUGAUCUGGCUGGUUAGGCAACUAUCCCCUUCUUCCCUCACCACUCUACAGGCACCCCUACCGAAGGUGUGCGCCUGGUCGAAGAGGACCACCUUCCCUGAUAGAGGAGGACUGUUCUUUGGUCAAGGGUAUAUGCGUAGUUUCUCUCCCAUGCUAGAACCUCCAAACAAGAUUUCAAGAGAUGGUGGGCAGCCCCAAAACAUGACAAAUGUCUAUUGAAGAAUUUGGCUCUGAAACAUUAACAUACACAUACUUUUUCCAUAU
rfam:Felis catus isolate Cinnamon breed Abyssinian chromosome A1, whole genome shotgun sequence.